rnacentral:rRNA from 1 species
GACGAACGCUGGCGGCGUGCUUAACACAUGCAAGUCGAACGGAAAGGCCCUGCUUUUGUGGGGUGCUCGAGUGGCGAACGGGUGAGUAACACGUGAGUAACCUGCCCUUGACUUUGGGAUAACUUCAGGAAACUGGGGCUAAUACCGGAUAGGAGCUCCUGCUGCAUGGUGGGGGUUGGAAAGUUUCGGCGGUUGGGGAUGGACUCGCGGCUUAUCAGCUUGUUGGUGGGGUAGUGGCUUACCAAGGCUUUGACGGGUAGCCGGCCUGAGAGGGUGACCGGCCACAUUGGGACUGAGAUACGGCCCAGACUCGUACGGGAGGCAGCAGUGGGGAAUAUUGCACAAUGGGCGGAAGCCUGAUGCAGCAACGCCGCGUGCGGGAUGACGGCCUUCGGGUUGUAAACCGCUUUCGCCUGUGACGAAGCGUGAGUGACGGUAAUGGGUAAAGAAGCACCGGCUAACUACGUGCCAGCAGCCGCGGUGAUACGUAGGGUGCGAGCGUUGUCCGGAUUUAUUGGGCGUAAAGGGCUCGUAGGUGGUUGAUCGCGUCGGAAGUGUAAUCUUGGGGCUUAACCCUGAGCGUGCUUUCGAUACGGGUUGACUUGAGGAAGGUAGGGGAGAAUGGAGUUCCUGGUGGAGCGGUGGAAUGCGCAGAUAUCAGGAGGAACACCAGUGGCGAAGGCGGUUCUCUGGGCCUUUCCUGACGCUGAGGAGCGAAAGCGUGGGGAGCGAACAGGCUUAGAUACCCUGGUAGUCCACGCUGUAAACGGUGGGUACUAGGUGUGGGGUCCAUUCCACGGGUUCCGUGCCGUAGCUAACGCUUUAAGUACCCCGCCUGGGGAGUACGGCCGCAAGGCUAAAACUCAAAGGAAUUGACGGGGCCCCGCACAAGCGGCGGAGCAUGCGGAUUAAUUCGAUGCAACGCGUAGAACCUUACCUGGGUUUGACAUGGAUCGGGAGUGCUCAGAGAUGGGUGUGCCUCUUUUGGGGUCGGUUCACAGGUGGUGCAUGGCUGUCGUCAGCUCGUGUCGUGAGAUGUUGGGUUAAGUCCCGCAACGAGCGCAACCCUUGUUCACUGUUGCCAGCACGUUAUGGUGGGGACUCAGUGGAGACCGCCGGGGUCAACUCGGAGGAAGGUGGGGAUGACGUCAAGUCAUCAUGCCCCUUAUGUCCAGGGCUUCACGCAUGCUACAAUGGCUGGUACAGAGAGUGGCGAGCCUGUGAGGGUGAGCGAAUCUCGGAAAGCCGGUCUCAGUUCGGAUUGGGGUCUGCAACUCGACCUCAUGAAGUCGGAGUCGCUAGUAAUCGCAGAUCAGCAACGCUGCGGUGAAUACGUUCCCGGGGCU